rnacentral:rRNA from 1 species
CUAUGCCUACGGGGGGCAGCAGUGGGGAAUAUUGCGCAAUGGGGGAAACCCUGACGCAGCAACGCCGCGUGCGGGAUGAAGGCCUUCGGGUUGUAAACCGCUUUCAGCAGGGAAGAUCCAAGACGGUACCUGCAGAAGAAGCCCCGGCUAACUACGUGCCAGCAGCCGCGGUAAUACGUAGGGGGCGAGCGUUAUCCGGAUUCAUUGGGCGUAAAGCGCGCGUAGGCGGUCAUGUAAGCGGGACCUCUAAUCUUGGGGCUCAACCUCAAGCCGGGUUCCGAACUACAU